rnacentral:lncRNA from 1 species
UUGCGCAGUGGACAAAGCAUAACCGCAGUACAAACUUUUUCCAUGUUCGAAGGGGCAAGUAACGCGGCUCGUAACUGCGGUAGGUAGGAUUCUGAAAGGACUACAGUGAGAUCCUAUGCGAAGAAUUCCUAAAAGGAUUUGUUUACUCGCCAAAGCACGUUACUCGUUCAACUGUUGAGCGUCGAAGGUGCAACAAAUCAUUUUCGUUUGAAUUACGAAGCUGCUGACGUUCAUUGGAAUGCCGAUAAAAAGAGUUACGAGAUCCGAAACAUCAAGCGUAUACGAUGAAUAAUGAAACAACGAGGAUUCAGCAGUAUGGACAUGUGUCAGUUAAACGAGGAGCCAGAAGAUUACAUCGAGAAUCCUUCCA